GGAAAGUAGUGGUGUGGAGACUUUUAAGAUGCUUCAAGUUGUGAAAUUCAGCCAAGUUGGUGGCAAUUUAUUUCCUUAUCUCAAGUUUUAAACAGAACCAGCAAGGAAAACCUCAGACUCAUGAGUCACGGAAUGUCCUAAAUUUUCUUGCCUCAUGUUUGCUCUGCGUGCGUACGUACACAAAUAUGCCAUAAGUUUCCUCUUCUUUUAAAUGCUUCUUCUGAAUGGUCUCAGCUAACUUAUCUGAAAUGAAACAAAUGCAACAAUACCCUGCACACUUCCUUAAAAUACGAUACACUGAAAUAUGUGAAGUCAAAUUUGGGCAGAUGGUAAAAAACAAAAACAAACCAGUUUUGUUUUGAGAGGUUACUUAUUUCAUUUACUAUGCCAAAACCUGGGAAAUGUUUACAUGCCAAAUUCCUGCAUGGUUGUAAAAACAAAUUGAAUUAUAUUAGAAAAGUUGACUUAUGUUCUGUCAGGUUCAUGCUCUGAGAAAGAUGAUGGCUCAGAAGCUUGCCACUGGUUUCUUCCCCCCACCCCUUUCUCCCCCCUAACAGGAGACUCCUAUCCCUCCAGUCCAGGAGGACACAUCGUUCAUCAGCUAAAGUUUUUUUUCUUCACAAUUGGUGUCUGUGCACACCUAGAUAUCCAACACAUCAAGAAAAAUAUGGAUCAACAGCCUUCAUCUUUGGACUUUGUUUGGGGCCCAAUUGUUCAUGAAAGCCUAUCAGAAUAAUCUAAAUCUACACUACCCUUAUUCCACUGUCCUGUUACUGCCAACUGAGGGAUAACACCAUGGGCUAUUUUCUCUCUUCCACUCCUGGUAUCAUUGAAUAUUCCAUUUGAAGUGUUUUGAAGAACUUAGAAGAUCACUCAUGACUCUGUAACAUUAUGCUCGCGUCCUCCCGCCCACCAUGGAGAAACCUUGAAAUGACAGAAUUGUUGGUGACACUCUGUGAAAGGGACCUUGGGAGAGCUGACAACUCCCAGGCACCUGGAAAACAUGGGGGAAGGAAAGCUGGUGUUCAGUGAAAAACCUCCUGAUAGGAGGUGCCUGAGGAAGAUAAAAGGGGGAUUCAGGAACAAUGGGAACCAAUGCAGAAACCUCAGACUGCAGGAGCUACCAGUGAAGUUAACUGGAUCCCCAUCAGAAAAGACGCUACCCAGCGGGUUCCUGCAGGGAGAUCCUGCAGGGACUCUACAGACAAGAUUGAGGGGUGUUUGCUGUUGCUGAAUCCAAACUGUCCUCAAUAAAAUCUGUUUUUACUUCCACUAGCAAUCUGGAGCCAAUGGAAUAAUUGCCAGGAAACCUUGCAGCCACUGACACCCCCAGCAAGGCAACCUGCAGUGCACGCAGUUGGAAUUUUAAUGGUGGAUGUAUAUAACACUGACUAAUUUCGGUUUUUGUGGACUUGGAUAAUAUUAGUAUGUUGAUCAGCUGGUCACAUUUGAGGAUUUAAAAUGGUUUAUGUGUGAAUAUUUUCAUUUAAAAUUGCCACCUUUUUCAUAUGGAUCCUAAACAUUGUGGUUCAGUCUAGUACAAAAGCAGCUGGUUGGUGAAUGUGAUGGUGCAUACACUAACAGAAACAAGUCAAACCACAGAGAUGUUUUUCUUUCUAUACCGGAAACACCUGCCUGAAAAAGAAAAGAAAAAAAAAACGGUUUGCUCAAACUUUCUAUAGAAAAGGGGGGUGGGUGGAAUAAUCUUCUUCAUUUUUUUUAAAUUAGAGUGAUUCUACCCAGUUAAUUUCAGCUUAAUUCUCUUCAAUGAAACAGUUUGAGGAGACUAGGAGCACUCUUUUCUAGGUCACACAUCUAGUUUAUUUCUCAGGCAUACCAGUCCCUGGGACAUUUUUUCAAAGCCCUAUCUUGCUUAAUUGAUUUUCUGAAAUACACUAUGUGUCCACCGUAUUGAGGGAUUAAAUUGUAGGAUGACUUGACAAGAUUCCUUGUCACCCUCCCAUACCAUUGCUCAGAACCACACUGUAACACAGUUAAUUCUCCCCUCUCUAUUAUGCAGGAGUCAGUUCCAGUGAAUUCAGAAACACUUAUUUCCAAGCAAGCCUGCACAGGAUCUUUCUCAAGUCCACACAGUACAAACUUUCUAAAAUGCACAUUAGAUUACCAUCAGAAUCCCUGUUAAACAAUUCUUUAGCUGCCUCAUACAGCAUAAUGCUACACAUAAUUUGACAUGUAUGAGACCCAUUAAGUUUUAGUAUUCCUAUGCUGUUAAUCACAGGUGCUUUCA